GCUGGCGGCAGGCUUAACACAUGCAAGUCGAGCGGGCGUAGCAAUACGUCAGCGGCAGACGGGUGAGUAACGCGUGGGAACAUACCUUUUGGUUCGGAACAACACAGGGAAACUUGUGCUAAUACCGGAUAAGCCCUUACGGGGAAAGAUUUAUCGCCGAAAGAUUGGCCCGCGUCUGAUUAGCUAGUUGGUGAGGUAACGGCUCACCAAGGCGACGAUCAGUAGCUGGUCUGAGAGGAUGAUCAGCCACAUUGGGACUGAGACACGGCCCAAACUCCUACGGGAGGCAGCAGUGGGGAAUAUUGGACAAUGGGCGCAAGCCUGAUCCAGCCAUGCCGCGUGAGUGAUGAAGGCCCUAGGGUUGUAAAGCUCUUUUGUGCGGGAAGAUAAUGACGGUACCGCAAGAAUAAGCCCCGGCUAACUUCGUGCCAGCAGCCGCGGUAAUACGAAGGGGGCUAGCGUUGCUCGGAAUCACUGGGCGUAAAGGGUGCGUAGGCGGGUCUUUAAGUCAGGGGUGAAAUCCUGGAGCUCAACUCCAGAACUGGCUUUGAUACUGAGGAUCUUGAGUUCGGGAAAAGUGAGUGGAACUGC
rnacentral:rRNA from 1 species